rnacentral:rRNA from 1 species
CCUACGGGAGGCAGCAGUGAGGAAUAUUGGUCAAUGGACGAGAGUCUGAACCAGCCAAGUAGCGUGAAGGAUGACUGCCCUAUGGGUUGUAAACUUCUUUUAUAUGGGAAUAAAAUGUUCCACGUGUGGGAUUUUGUAUGUACCAUAUGAAUAAGGAUCGGCUAACUCCGUGCCAGCAGCCGCGGUAAUACGGAGGAUCCGAGCGUUAUCCGGAUUUAUUGGGUUUAAAGGGUGCGUAGGUGGAUUGUUAAGUCAGUUGUGAAAGUUUGUGGCUCAACCGUAAAAUUGCAGUUGAAACUGGCAGUCUUGAGUACAGUAGAGGUGGGCGGAAUUCGUGGUGUAGCGGUGAAAUGCUUAGAUAUCACGAAGAACUCCGAUUGCGAAGGCAGUUCACUGGACUGCAACUGACACUGAGGCUCGAAAGUGUGGGUAUCAAACAGGAUUAGAUACCCUAGUAGUC